GGGUUGUGAGGUUAAGCGACUAAGCGUACACGGUGGAUGCCCUGGCAGUCAGAGGCGAUGAAGGGCGUGCUAAUCUGCGAUAAGCGCCGGUAAGGUGAUAUGAACCGUUAUAACCGGCGAUACCCGAAUGGGGAAACCCAGUGUGAUUCGUCACACUAUCAUUAACUGAAUCCAUAGGUUAAUGAGGCGAACCGGGGGAACUGAAACAUCUAAGUACCCCGAGGAAAAGAAAUCAACCGAGAUUCCCCCAGUAGCGGCGAGCGAACGGGGAGGAGCCCAGAGCCUGAAUCAGCAUGUGUGUUAGUGGAAGCGUCUGGAAAGGCGCGCGAUACAGGGUGACAGCCCCGUACACAAAAGCGCAUGUGCUGUGAGCUCGAUGAGUAGGGCGGGACACGUGGUAUCCUGUCUGAAUAUGGGGGGACCAUCCUCCAAGGCUAAAUACUCCUGACUGACCGAUAGUGAACCAGUACCGUGAGGGAAAGGCGAAAAGAACCCCGGCGAGGGGAGUGAAAAAGAACCUGAAACCGUGUACGUACAAGCAGUGGGAGCACCCUUUUGGGUGUGACUGCGUACCUUUUGUAUAAUGGGUCAGCGACUUAUAUUCUGUAGCAAGGUUAACCGCAUAGGGGAGCCGGAGGGAAACCGAGUCUUAAUUGGGCGUUAAGUUGCAGGGUAUAGACCCGAAACCCGGUGAUCUAGCCAUGGGCAGGUUGAAGGUUGGGUAACACUAACUGGAGGACCGAACCGACUAAUGUUGAAAAAUUAGCGGAUGACCUGUGGCU
rnacentral:rRNA from 1 species